rnacentral:tRNA from 1 species
GAACUGGUGGUUCAGUGGUAGAAUUCUUGCCUUUCAUGCGGGAGAUCUGGGUUUGAUUCCAGACCAAUGCA